GCCGUAGCUCAGUUGGCAGAGUGCGCGGCCCAUGUCUGCAGCGGACCCGGGUUCGACUCCCGUCCCGGGUCA